UUGCUUUGGCAGCACAUAUACUAAAGUUGGAACGAUACAGAGACCCACCCUUGCCCUUGCGCAAGGGUGACACGCAAAUUCGUGACGCUUCCAUAUUUAAA
rnacentral:snRNA from 1 species